AAGGACUUAAGUUAAAUAAACUAAUAACCUUCAAAGUUAUAAAUAAAAUAAUAAUUUUAGGCCUUA
rnacentral:tRNA from 3 species